rnacentral:tRNA from 2 species
CGGGGUGUGGCGCAGCCUGGCUAGCGCGUUUGACUGGGGGUCAAAAGGUCGCAGGUUCAAAUCCUGUCACCCCGA